rnacentral:rRNA from 1 species
CAAUAGCGUAUAUUAAAGUUGUUGCAGUUAAAAGCUCGUAGUUGGAUUUCGGAACCGGCCGAUUGGUCCGUCCUCUGGAUCGUGUACUGAUCGGUCUGUUCUUCUUCGCGAAGACCGCGUGUGCCCUUAACUGGGUGGGCGCGGGAUUCGCGACGUUUACUUUGAAAAAUUAGAGUGUUCAAAAGCGGCAGUCGCUUGAAUAUCUCAGCAUGGAAUAAUAGAAUAGGACUUUGGUCUUAUUUUGUUGGUUUCCGAGACCGAAGUAAUGAUUAAUAGGGACAGUUGGGGGCAUUCGUAUUUCGUUGUCAGAGGUGAAAUUCUUGGAUUUACGAAAGACGAACAACUGCGAAAGCACUUGCCAAGAAGUGUUUUCAUUAAUCAAGAACGAAAGUUAGAGGAUCGAAGACGAUCAG